UACGUAGGGACCAAGCGUUGUCCGGAAUUACUGGGCGUAAAGAGCUCGUAGGUGGUUUGUCGCGUUGUUCGUGAAAACCGGGGGCUUAACCCUCGGCGUGCGGGCGAUACGGGCAGACUUGAGUACUGCAGGGGAGACUGGAAUUCCUGGUGUAGCGGUGGAAUGCGCAGAUAUCAGGAGGAACACCGGUGGCGAAGGCGGGUCUCUGGGCAGUAACUGACGCUGAGGAGCGAAAGCGUGGGGAGCGAACAGG
rnacentral:rRNA from 1 species